rnacentral:lncRNA from 1 species
UUUAGAGCCAACAACAUUUGAAGACUUUGCAGCACAGGUUUUCUCUCCAGCUCCCUACCAUCAUUUCCCUGCUGACGCAGAUCAUUAAGUGUCAGUUCUGUUUAUCUGAAGGAUCCUACCCAGAGAUUCCACCCAGUGACGCUGCCCCAGCAGCACAGGUAGACGGGGCUGACCUGGCCUCUCCCAUGUCUCCUCGAACUAGCAAAAGCCGCAUGUCCAUGAAGCUGCGUCGGUCCUCUGGCUCAGCCAAUAAAUCCUAAGGAGACAACCAGCCUGGCAGUGAGCAGCAGUAGCCGCCCUGAUCAGCAGUAGUGUUAACUCUUUCAGGCCUCGCGUGUUUGCCAUAACACUCAUGCUCCUUCCUGUGCGUUUAUCUGAAAAAACACUGGACUUCAAAACUUACUAUUUUAAGUUUGGACUAUUUAUUUAAUUCAGGUUUUUUCCACACUCCAAGCUGCCAUAUUUUGAGGGUUGAGUUUUAUUCCAUACUUCACGUUCCUAGAUAAUCAUGUCUAAGUGGUGUUACCUUCAAGUUCAUGAUGAAUGUUGAGACAAAAUAUAAUUGGACAGAUAGUCUUGUGGUUAUUUAUUGUGCCUCAUUACAACUUUAUGAUUCAAUAACUACAUAGUUUUUACUAAUUUUUUUGGCGGUGCUGGGAAUAGAAGCCAGUAUCCCAAGCAUGCUAGGCAAGCACACUGUCCUUCACAGCCCAGUGCUACACAUUUAAAUUAAUGGAAGCAUUUAGAGAGCUAGAGCAAAGCUGCACAUCUGUUUGUCACAUAGGCUGUACACAGAGUAUUUGUGUUACAGAGAGAAACACUCCUAAUGGCAGUGCAGCAGCUCAGAUUCCAACUGAAAUUACUUACAUGUGGUAACAUUUUCUUCCCAAGUUGGUAUCUCAUUUCUGGGCAGUGCAGGUGAUAGCGGCACAUACUCAGUACCCAGGAAGCCCACCACUGACCUUUGAUUUCCGUUUAGCUUCCAGACAACUUUGUUCUGCCUUUUUAGGUGGCAUCACUGCUAAAUGCUAUUUCUGUUUUGAGGCUGUGGUCUUUUAUUAUUGACCAGUUUAUCCCGGUGUGUCUGUGUACUUUCUUAAGUACCAAAAAAGGUGAUGGAGAAAAGGGGGAAAAGCUUGUUUUUGCUCAAAUUAUGUGUAUUGUUAAAAAGCAAUGGAACAUGACCCACAAGUCUAAGUUAAAUAUAAUAUUUUAGUACUAAACUUGGCUGCAGGUGCAGGUUGGUAUGCACCCCACCUCCAGAAGUAUUUCCUGUAGUAAAUAAGCAGUCUCCUUUUGUUUAACAUGGGCAUCUCCUAAGGAAAUGUAGCAUGAUUGAUACCAACUGCAUGUGUAAAUAUAUCAUCCUGACAAACCACAGAAUAUAAAUUAUGUAUCAUUCAUGUAGUGUCUACAGAUUUGUAAUGGGACAAAAAGAUGACAUGGUAUUUAAUAAAAACAAAAUAAAAAUAUUCUUC